UGCAACCAGCCCUAAAUCAAAAAAGCUGACUUCUCCCAGGAGUUUAAAGCCCUGUCUCACACAUUAAAUUGUAAUUUGCAGGCAAGUCUGGGCUCAGAAAUCCUCCAAUAAAGCAGAUGAAUAAUCAACAUGAAUUGGAUAGAAAGAGUCUCUCUCUGCCUUUCACUUGCCCUUAUCACUUUGCACACAAACAGCACCCUGGAUGAUGUCUACAAGAUGAUAAGACCACAAAAGGAUUCAACUGGAUCAGAAAAUUUCAUUAUUCAGAAACAAGAUGGUCCAAAUUGGGUAGUUUGAGUAAGAAGGCAAACAGCUGACUGCAUAAAGGACCUGUGAGGUCACCAGUUCUGGAUUUUACCAGGCAACAGUAAUGGAGUGACCUAGAGGAUCUUCUCUCUAAUGUUAGCUCUCUGUGGAGACAGUCACUCAACCAAAUCCCCAACCGGAUUAAAGGUUGGUGUAGACCAUGGAUUUCUCUUGCAGAGAACAGCUGAGACAUUGAAAAGCACUUGACGCUGACAUCGGACACUGAAAAGCAAAACCCCUCGAUUUGGGAGUCUCUAAUUCCAUUCUUCUCUUCAAGCCAAGCAGCUACACUGAGCUUGAUCCAUGAGAAAUCUCACCACUGUGGCUGAGCACAUGCUUCAGAGAGCACCUGAGCUGACAUCACUCCCCUGCCCUUUCUCAGAUUCUAUUUUCUUACUCGUCUAGGGACUGUGGGCCUGAUUGUUCUAAUCCAAAUGGAUGUCCAACACUAAACACAUUCUCUUCCCUUCUCUCUCUUUAACCCAACCCUCAAUUUCUCUGGGUUCCAUGGCCACUAACUAACCUCACAGAACUAAAGAGAAAUGGCGCAGUCAUAAGUGAGCAGUCACCUUCUCCCUCCUCCCAGUCCUCUGGGAGUCUCUGAAGUCUCUGUCCCCACUGACACUUUCACUCUGUAUGUAAAAUUAUACUUAAGAAUCUUAUUAAUGAGAGCAUAAGUAUUUUUUCUUUUAUGCUUUGGGU
rnacentral:lncRNA from 1 species